rnacentral:lncRNA from 1 species
UAUCCUUACCACCAGCAUAAACACGCUGCUCUUUCAAGUCGGAGCCAGGGUAGGUCUUGGUGGCAGCCCCGAGCCCGUGGGGCCGGGGCUGGAUCGAGGAGCAGCGCUGGGGCAAGGGCCGGGCCGCGCCGCCCGUCUGUGCGGGGCCUGUGCGGGGCCGUGAAGUGCGGAACAGCUCGGGGCUCGGCCGGGCGGGGGCCGAGGCCUGGGGUGUGGCGGCCGCGGGGACGGGGCGGCCUGCAGCUCGCCGCGCCCCUCCGAGGAGCUGUGUCCGGUCACUUGCCUCCUGACUGCAGGUCAGCCCGCGGCCCGCAGGUCGGAUUAACCGUGGGGGUCGCCGAACCCCCUGCCCAGCGUGUGCAGAGGAGAGGCCGUGGGCCCGCAGGGGGGUCAGCAGGGGCCCUAGGGGCCAACAGGGGCCCGCAGGGGUCCGCAGGGGCCAGCAGGGGUCCGCAGGGGCCAGCAGGGGUCCGCAGGGGCCCUAGGGGCCCGCAGGGGUCCGCAGGGGUCCGCGGGGCCAGCAGGGGUCCGCAGGGGCCCGCAGGGGUCCGCAGGGGUCCGCAGGGGCCUGCAGGGGGGUCAGCAGGGGUCCGCAGGGGCCAGCAGGGGCCCGCAGGGGGGUCAGCAGGGGCCAGUAGGGGGUCCAGCAGGGGCCAGCAGAGGCCUGCAGGGGGGUCAGCAGGGGGGCCAGCAGGGGUCCGCAGGGGCCAGCGGGGGUCAGCUGGGGCCCUCAGGGGUCCGCAGGGGUCCGCAGGGGCCAGUAGGGGCCAGCAGAGGCCUGCAGGGGGGCCAGUAGGGGGGCCAGCAGGGGUCAGCAGGGGCCAGCAGGGGCCAUCAGGGACCAGCAGAGGCCCGCGGGGGCCAGCAGGGGGGCCAGCAGGGGCCCACAGGGGUCAGCAGGAGCCAGCAGGGGCCGAGGCGUCCUGGCCUGGAACUGAAAUGCGUGGCCCUGGGGGCUGCGACACUCGGGCACUUGGCUCUGGCUCCUCGGCCUCCGCAGGGGCAAUGUUGUGA